GACGAACGCUGGCGGCGUGCCUAAUACAUGCAAGUCGAGCGAAUCUGAGGGAGCUUGCUCCCAAAGGUUAGCGGCGGACGGGUGAGUAACACGUGGGAAACCUGCCUGUAAGACUGGGAUAACUUCGGGAAACCGGAGCUAAUACCGGAUAAUUCUUAUCAACUCAUGUUGGUAAGCUAAAAGACGGCGUAAGCUGUCACUUACAGAUGGGCCCGCGGCGCAUUAGCUAGUUGGUGAGGUAACGGCUCACCAAGGCAACGAUGCGUAGCCGACCUGAGAGGGUGAUCGGCCACACUGGGACUGAGACACGGCCCAGACUCCUACGGGAGGCAGCAGUAGAGAAUCUUCCGCAAUGGACGAAAGUCUGACGGAGCAACGCCGCGUGAGUGAUGAAGGUUUUCGGAUCGUAAAACUCUGUUGUUAGGGAAGAACAAGUACGAGAGUAACUGCUCGUACCUUGACGGUACCUAACCAGAAAGCCACGGCUAACUACGUGCCAGCAGCCGCCGUAA
rnacentral:rRNA from 1 species